GAUGAACGCUGGCGGCGUGCCUAAUACAUGCAAGUCGAGCGAACAGACGAGGAGCUUGCUCCUCUGACGUUAGCGGCGGACGGGUGAGUAACACGUGGAUAACCUACCUAUAAGACUGGGAUAACUUCGGGAAACCGGAGCUAAUCCCGGAUAAUAUAUUGAACCGCAUGGUUCAAUAGUGAAAGACGGUUUUGCUGUCACUUAUAGAUGGAUCCGCGCCGCAUUAGCUAGUUGGUAAGGUAACGGCUUACCAAGGCAACGAUGCGUAGCCGACCUGAGAGGGUGAUCGGCCACACUGGAACUGAGACACGGUCCAGACUCCUACGGGAGGCAGCAGUAGGGAAUCUUCCGCAAUGGGCGAAAGCCUGACGGAGCAACGCCGCGUGAGUGAUGAAGGUCUUCGGAUCGUAAAACUCUGUUAUUAGGGAAGAACAAAUGUGUAAGUAACUAUGCACGUCUUGACGGUACCUAAUCAGAAAGCCACGGCUAACUACGUG
rnacentral:rRNA from 1 species